rnacentral:rRNA from 1 species
AAUGCAAGUCGAGCGAAUGGAUUAAGAGCUUGCUCUUAUGAAGUUAGCGGCGGACGGGUGAGUAACACGUGGGUAACCUGCCCAUAAGACUGGGAUAACUCCGGGAAACCGGGGCUAAUACCGGAUAACAUUUUGAACCGCAUGGUUCGAAAUUGAAAGGCGGCUUCGGCUGUCACUUAUGGAUGGACCCGCGUCGCAUUAGCUAGUUGGUGAGGUAACGGCUCACCAAGGCAACGAUGCGUAGCCGACCUGAGAGGGUGAUCGGCCACACUGGGACUGAGACACGGCCCAGACUCCUACGGGAGGCAGCAGUAGGGAAUCUUCCGCAAUGGACGAAAGUCUGACGGAGCAACGCCGCGUGAGUGAUGAAGGCUUUCGGGUCGUAAAACUCUGUU